rnacentral:rRNA from 1 species
UAGGGAAUCUUCGGCAAUGGGGGGAACCCUGACCGAGCAACGCCGCGGGAGUGAAGAAGGUUUUCGGAUCGUAAAGCUCUGUUGUUAAGGAAGAACGAGUGUGAGAAUGGAAAGUUCAUGCUGUGACGGUACUUAACCAGAAAGGGACGGCUAACUACGUGCCAGCAGCCGCGGUAAUACGUAGGUCCCGAGCGUUGUCCGGAUUUAUUGGGCGUAAAGCGAGCGCAGGCGGUUAGAAAAGUCUGAAGUGAAAGGCAGUGGCUCAACCAUUGUAGGCUUUGGAAACUGUUUAACUUGAGUGCAGGAGAGGAGAGUGGAAUUCCAUGUGUAGCGGUGAAAUGCGUAAAUAUAUGGAGGAACACCAGUGGCGAAGGCGACUCUCUGGUCUGUAACUGACGCUGAGGCUCGAAAGCGUGGGUAGCAAACAGG